GAGAGAGAGGGAGAGUGGGAGAGGUGAAAAGAAGAUUGAGAAGCCUGGGACAGAGCUUUCUAAAGCCAGAGCAACCAUAGAGUCCUUUCCUCCGGUGGCCAAAGUUUAUUUGACACAACAAAGUUUUUAACCAGGCCACAGAGACUUGCAUUUCUCAUUUGCCUUGUUCCCAGUCUCUUCUUCUGAAGACUUUGUUUCAAGGAAGGAUGGCUUUAGGUCAAAUUGCUAAGGCCUGAUCUUAAAGAUCUAAUUGCUAUUGGAAGAGAAGGCUGUUCCCCAGCUGGGCCUCCACUCUGGAGAUGGUGCAAGGAAGACUGUCCACUCUGCUGUGGGCACCCUGCUGAUGGAUGAGGUGUCAGGCCAGCCGUCCUGUGAGCACUGGUUUCCAAAUGAAGCAGUGUAUCCUGCUGUGAGGGUGACUGAGUUUGGAUCCCAAGGACUUAGUUUUUGGUACAGGCUUGAUGGAUUCUGCAUUGACUCCAAUGUAGCAUACAUAGAAAACAUUUGAAAAAUGCAUCUGGCUCCUCUCCUUGUCACUAUUGGGCCCACACCUCUGGCAGAAGACUCGCCAUCACCCAGAGGACAGGCCUGGAUCCUGGAGCCUAGGACACUGUCACUAAUCCUGCUAGCAACCUCUGUGGGAGCAUCCAUGUUGCCAUUUUCCAGCUCUUCUUGUCCAGGCCUAAAAGAAGGAGUGAUGCUUAGAUGAGAAGAUCUCUCUAGACGGUCCUCUGCAUGGGGCUUUUGAGAAAUUUUCAUUUCUGACUGUGAUGACCACUGCACCCUUACCCUGCCCAGGCAUCAGGGCCUGUGUCCUACACCCUGUUGGUGGUUUCUUACGUAUAGGCCUUGGGUUAGCUAUGGGAUCUCCAGAUUCUACCUGACCAAACACUGAAUCCAGUCCCCCAUGCUUGAUAUGGGGAUUUUGCUUUUAUUCCAUUCCUGACCUCCAAGGAAAUGUCCUUCACACCAGAUCAGCUAUACAUUUAAUUUUCAAUACACUUUCAUUUUUCUAGUAAUUUUAUAAUGCUUCACCUGAAGGUAUACUUACUCUAAACACUUAAUUUGGCAUGUUGCCAGAAAUACAAAUUCCAUUUGCAUUGCUACAAUAUCCUUCAGUCAAUAAAACAGAAUAACCCAACAAUGAAAUCCAUGAACAUCGGACAUGAGCUUAGUUAAAGACAUAUUGAAAAUAUAAAUGGUAUUUAUAUCAUCUUUUUCAAUUUCUUUUACAGAGAUAAUUGCUAUUUUGAAUAUAUUUUGUAUUUUCCAACCUUUGUACUAUUUAAUGAUAUCUUUUCAGGACAUAUUAGCAUAAUAAAUAUUUUUAAAAUUCAUAUGAAAAUUAUAGGGAUACCAUAACCUUCUGUUUUCUCCAACUCAGUGUUAUUUUUGUGCAUGAUCUUUAAUUCUUCAUAUGGAUGAAUAUUCCCUUGGGAGACUUUAUUUCACAGCUUAUUCUUUUUCUCACAGAGGACAAUUACAUCUCUAAACUUUUGCUGUUAUGAACAAUACUGCAAUAAAAAUUUAGGAUGUUUGUGAGCUUGUUGUUGUUUUUCUAGUACAUACCUAAAAUUUAGAUUUUAUAUGCAUUCAUAGUUUUACUGGAAUAAUCCAAGUUUCUUUCUAAGCUCAUACUCACAGCUUAUAUUCUCAGCACUUUCUUGCAAAUUUCCUUGAAAUUCAGGUUUCUCUGUUUGUGAAGUAUUGUUUUAAAAACUGUUUUUGAGAUUUCUAUUCUAUUUCAAUGUAUAUUUCGUAUUUUAGUAUGACUUAGCUGACCUUUUGGAAAUAUAAAAGUUUCCAUUCCCAUUACUGAAGCACUGAGGAGUUGCCUUCUCCCAUCAAAAGGAGCAAUUGAUGAGGUUUCUUAGUCAAUCUUUGUGCUUAUUGGUAAACAUUGAUUUACCAUGAUUGUGCUAUUUUCACAUUUUCAUUGUUACACAGAAUUGUUAGUUUAUGUUUUGUACUUACAUGAGGGUUUCUUCACAUAUAACAAGAGGCAAUCAUCUGCACAAAAGUACUCAAAGAAUGUGGACCAAGUUAUAGAAAAAGGCAACCAGUACUAUAAAAUUAGUUGGAAAUACAAAUUGUCUAGAUAAAAAUGGAAAAUGAGACAUCCUUGAAAUUCCAUUUGAUUUUAACACAUUAAUUUUUGGACACAUUGCCAAAUUUGUUUUAUUUGGAAUAUAUAGGCUGAAUGGAAAAACUAUAGACGAGAUUAUAGACUAUAGAUAGUAAACAAAUAUUUCUACCUAACAAUAUUUUCAAUAAUGGAUUUUCAAAUGAAAUAUACUUAAUUUCAGUAUUUUCAAUAUUUCAAGGAGAUUUUCAUCGAGUGUGGAACUCAAUAUUCAGUGGAUUGUCUUUAGGACAGAUAACAAUUACAAGUAUCAAGCUGAGAUUAAAUAAAUAUAAUAUGAAUGAACAUUCUUUCCAUAAUACUCUACAAUCUAUGGUUCAUCUAUGAUAAUUUUGCUUCAAAACUUUAUAGCUUCAAAACACAUAUUUGAAAUUUUACACAAAGGAAUUUUUAUGCCAGAGUUAGAAAAGGGACUUAUUUGCAGAUGUGAGCUGAAAGUGAAAACUACUCACUGUCAUUAUUGACUCUUACAGUUUUGCAGCCCCAAGUAAUUAGCCCUUGCAUAGUGCUGAAGUCCCCUUUGAUUUAAAUAUCAAAUUAAAAAGGGGACAAAUGUGUUGCUAUAUACAGCUAUGCCAUAGUCAGUGUUGUGUGAUGUAUUUCACUAUCACUGAUCAGAGAUUUAAGCUCAUUUCUAGAGGUUAAUUAUAAAUUUUACACCUAUAGUUAAAGUGUCAAAAUCUGCCUUUUUCAGUCCUGAAGAAAAUGAGUCUUUUUCCCGAGGGUACCUUGGUCAGCUUGUCACUACAAAGAAUGCUUUUCUUUCUACACCCUAUAAGAGUAGAAGGAAAAAUGAAAAUAGAUUAUUACAAAUGAAAUUUUAGGUCUAUUUUUUCCAUGAUUCUUAUCACCAUAUCAAUUUCUCUUAUUAUAACUUGAAUAAAACUAUAGAUGGACGUGUUGGUUCAAAUAGAAAGUGUUUAAGAAACCAUAACCAACAAACCCAUAAUACUCUCUCUUUCCAAUUUAUACAAUUCUCUCUACUCAUGGUAAGCAAUGAAAAAUAAUAUAUAUGUUUAAUUUCUCUAUUAAUAUAAAAGCUGUAGAGAGACAAUCUAUGAAGCAACAAAAGAAAGAUUAAUUCAGUAAGUAAAGAGUCCAAAAUGUAAUACCAGGGAUGUCAAAGGUAGACAAUAUUUUAUAAUCUAACUUGAAGGUAGAAUCUAUGAUAGUCAAACUCAUGGAGGAAGAAUGUUGAAAGGUAUGUACUGAAUAUUUAAGUAGAGGUUAGUAACAUUAGUCAAAGUAUAUGAAAUUUGAAUUAGGGAGUAGGAAUAAACUUAAGAGAACCAUGUAAAACAUUGUAACUAUAGACAGUGCCAGGGGAUUGUGUAUCUGGAAAUCACUUGAAGACUAAAUUUAAGAGUUUCUACUAAACACAAAAUUGAUAAGUGUUUGAGAUAAUGCAUGUUAGUAGACUUGCUUUUAUCCAUUCCUCAGUAUUUACAUACAAUAUUCAAAAUACUGUGUUUCUCAGAUAAAUACAGUUUUCAUUUCUUAGUUUUGUAGUAACAUAAAUGCAAUAUCGUAUCCAAGCUCAUAUAGAACAAUUUUAAUCUCAAUACACAAAUCUAACUAGGUACCGAUGACUUUUUAAUGGAGGAGAAAUUAAUUGUAUCAUUUCAUGCAUUUCUUGAGGCUCCCUGUUGGGGAUCAUGUCUUUAAAAUCAAACAGAAAAUUUUAAACUAAUACAUCUCAAUAUUUUUGCUCAAUAUUAGUAAUAGUUUUCAUGAGAUGGAACUUUGUAUCUGUUUGAAUAUCUAAUCCCAGAAUAAUAUAUUUAUCUAUAUUGUUGUAACUUAUUAUGUAAAUUUCCAUGAAAAAAUAUAUAUACUAAUAAGAUAUAUAAACUAAUGUUUUGCUAAGAUAGAAAACUGUAUUGUUAUAUAUUUUCUGCUAAAAAUGUGACAAAUAUUUGUUUUUAUACUCUAAGGAAUAAUUAUUAACUGUAUUUUAUAAGAAACACUGUUAUAGGUUAUAUUCUGGUACGAAUUCUGAUUAUUUUCUAAUGAAACUUAAAAGGUAACCAAUAGAAUAUAUAUCUGGAAAAUAUAUAGAAGAU